UACGAAGGGGGCUAGCGUUGCUCGGAAUUACUGGGCGUAAAGCGCACGUAGGCGGACCGAUAAGUCGGGGGUGAAAUCCUGGAGCUCAACUCCAGAACUGCCUUCGAAACUGCCGGUCUUGAGUUCGGGAGAGGUGAGUGGAACUGCGAGUGUAGAGGUGAAAUUCGUAGAUAUCUGCAGGAACACCCGUGGCGAAAGCGGCGCGCUGGACCACUACUGACGCUGAGGAACGAAAGCUAGGGGAGCAAACAGG
rnacentral:rRNA from 1 species